rnacentral:rRNA from 1 species
UAGGGAAUCUUCCACAAUGGACGCAAGUCUGAUGGAGCAACGCCGCGUGAGUGAAGAAGGUCUUCGGAUCGUAAAGCUCUGUUGUUGGUGAAGAAGGAUAGAGGCAGUAACUGGUCUUUAUUUGACGGUAAUCAACCAGAAAGUCACGGCUAACUACGUGCCAGCAGCCGCGGUAGUNNGUAGGUGGCAAGCGUUGUCCGGAUUU